CUAUGGGCUGCAGCAGUGGGGAAUAUUGCACAAUGGGGGAAACCCUGAUGCAGCAACGCCGCGUGGAGGAUGACACAUUUCAGUGCGUAAACUCCUUUUAUAUAAGAAGAUAAUGACGGUAUUAUAUGAAUAAGCACCGGCUGAACUCCGUGCCAGCAGCCGCGGUAAUACGGAGGGUGCAAGCGUUAUUCGGAAUCACUGGGCGUAAAGGGUGCGUAGGCGGUUUGGAAAGUCAGGUGUGAAAGCCCGGGGCUCAACUCCGGAACUGCACUUGAAACUUCCAGACUAGAAUACUGAAGGGGCAGAUGGAAUUAGUGGUGUAGGGGUAAAAUCCGUAGAUAUCACUAGGAAUACCGAAAGCGAAAGCGAUCUGCUGGGAAGUUAUUGACGCUGAGGCACGAAAGCGUGGGGAGCAAACAGGAUUAGAUACCCUAGUAGUC
rnacentral:rRNA from 1 species